GACGAACGCUGGCGGCGUGCUUAACACAUGCAAGUCGAACGGAAAGGCCCUGCUUGCAGGGUACUCGAGUGGCGAACGGGUGAGUAACACGUGGGUGAUCUGCCCUGCACUUCUUGAUAAGCCUGGGAAACUGGGUCUAAUACCUGAUAGGAGCCAUUUUUAGUGUGAUGGUUGGAAAGUUUUUUCGGUGUAGGAUGAGCUCACGGCCUAUCAGCUUGUUGGUGGGGUAAUGGCCUACCAAGGCGGCGACGGGUAGCCGGACUGUGAGAGUGGAAGGCCACAUUGGGACUGAGAUAAGGCCCAGACUGCUACGGGAGGCAGCAGUGGGGAAUAUUGCACCAGGGGCGCAAGCCUGAUGAAGCGACGCCGCGUGGGGGAUGACGGCCUUCGGGUUGUAAAAUACUUUCGCUAGGGAAGAAGCUUUUUGUGACGGUACCUAGAUAAGAAGCACCGGCUAACUACGUG
rnacentral:rRNA from 1 species